rnacentral:piRNA from 1 species
UGUCUCAUUGUUAACAUUUUC